rnacentral:snoRNA from 8 species
UCGCAUGUGGAAAUGUCUGCUUCUCAUUCCUUUGGAAGCAGGAAUACGUCCAUAACAUGCUACAUUAAAAAAGGAGUUCUCAGGGCUGCCAACCUUCCAGUAGAGGUUGAGUAGUAGUAUAUUUCUCCUACAUAA